rnacentral:rRNA from 1 species
GACAGAGGGUGCAAACGUUGCUCGGAAUCACUGGGCGUAAAGGGCGUGUAGGCGGGAAGGAAAGUCAGAUGUGAAAGCCCUGGGCUCAACCCAGGAACUGCAUUUGAACCUCCCUUUCUUGAGUGUCGGAGAGGAAAGCGGAAUUCCUGGUGUAGAGGUGAAAUUCGUAGAUAUCAGGAGGAACACCGGUGGCGAAGGCGGCUUUCUGGACGACAACUGACGCUGAGACGCGAAAGCGUGGGGAGCAAGCAGG